GUAGGUGGCGAGCGUUGUCCGGAAUUACUGGGCGUAAAGGGCGCGCAGGCGGUUCGUUAAGUCUGGGGUGAAAUCCUUCGGCUCAACCGGAGGGGGACCCUGGAUACUGGCGGGCUUGAGUGUGGGAGAGGGAAGCGGAAUUCCACGUGUAACGGUGAAAUGUAUAGAUAUGUGGAGGAACACCGGUGGCGAAGGCGGCUUCCUGGACCAUAACUGACGCUGAGGCGCGAAAGCUGGGGGAGCGAACAGGAUUAGAUACCCUGGUAGUCCCAGCCGUAAACGAUGAACACUAGGUGUGGGGGGUAUCGACCCCUUCCGUGCCGCAGCUAACGCAAUAAGUGUUCCGCCUGGGGAGUACGGCCGCAAGGUG
rnacentral:rRNA from 1 species